UGUGAAUUUCUGCCUCUGGUGUAUCUCUUCUCUACAUGCCUCAAAGUGUUUACAUUUCAGCUCAUUUCUCACAUUUGUGUUUUCAUGGGGGAAGAAAAGAUCCUGGUGAAGAGAUGGAAAGAUGGGCAGGACAUCAAGGAAGGAUACCAGGGAAUAGCAAGAACUUGCAAGGACCAACUCAAGAAGGAAAAGGUUGCAAUAUCUUGGCUGUUUAAAAGCUAAUUCAGUAUGACAGACUGAAGGGAAAACAGAUCUCUGCUUCUGUUCCUCCUGCCUCUUUCGAAGAAAUGUAAACAGGGCAAAAGACCCCAAAACAAAUCCAUUAAUAAAGCCAAACUGUGAUUUAGAGUGCAGUAGAAAAUUAGUUUGUCUUACAUAUUGUGUUUAGCAAAGCUUAUGUACAAUGACUUUCAAACUGGAUACUGCCUUGUAUAUGGUAAGCCAUUUUAAUAAAAACAAUUCCAUAUU